UCGGGAAUUUUGGGCAAUGGGCGAAAGCCUGACCCAGCAACGCCGCGUGAAGGAUGAAGUAUUUCGGUAUGUAAACUUCGAAAGAAUAGGAAGAAUAAAUGACGGUACUAUUUAUAAGGUCCGGCUGACUACGUGCCAGCAGCCGCGGUAAUACGUAGGGACCAAGCGUUGUUCGGAUUUACUGGGCGUAAAGGGCGCGUAGGCGGCAAUUCAAGUCAUCUGUGAAAUCUCCGGGCUUAACUCGGAACGGUCAGAUGAUACUGCUUUGCUAGAGUGCAGAAGGGGCAAUCGGAAUUCUUGGUGUAGCGGUGAAAUGCGUAGAUAUCAAGAGGAACACCUGAGGUGAAGACGGGUUGCUGGGCUGACACUGACGCUGAGGCGCGAAAGCCAGGGGAGCAAACGGGAUUAGAUACCCACGUAGUCCCUGAGCGGGCUGGCAAGGCGCAU
rnacentral:rRNA from 1 species